rnacentral:rRNA from 1 species
UACGGAGGGUGCAAGCAUUGAUCGGAAUUACUGGGCGUAAAGGGCGCGUAGGCGGCAAUGAAAGUCAGAUGUGAAAUUCCAGGGCUCAACCCUGGAGCUGCAUUUGAAACUUCAUAGCUAGAGUUCAGUUAGGGUAAACGGAAUUCCACGUGUAGCGGUGAAAUGCGUAGAUAUGUGGAAGAACACCGGUGGUGAAAACGGUUUACUGGGCUGAUACUGACGCUGAGGCGCGAAAGCAUGGGGAGCAAACAGG